GCCUGGCUGGCUUAGUCAGUAGAGCUUGCGACUUUUGAUCUUGAGGUUGUGAGUUCGAACCCCACGUUGGGCG
rnacentral:tRNA from 1 species